GACGAACGCUGGCGGCGUGCUUAACACAUGCAAGUCGAACGGAAAGGCCCCCACCUUGGUGGGGGUGCUCGAGUGGCGAACGGGUGAGUAACACGUGGGUGAUCUGCCCUGUACUUCGGGAUAAGCUUGGGAAACUGGGUCUAAUACCGGAUAGGACCAUGGUUUAGUGUCUCAUGGUGGAAAAAUUAUUGUUUUGGUGCAGGAUGAGCUCGCGGCCUAUCAGCUUGUUGGUGGGGUAAUGGCCUACCAAGGCGUCGACGGGUAGCCGGCCUGGGAGGGUGGACGGCCACAUUGGGACUGAGAUACGGCCCAGACUCCUACGGGAGGCAGCAGUGGGGAAUAUUGCACAAUGGGCGCAAGCCUGAUGCAGCGACGCCGCGUGGGGGAUGACGGCCUUCGGGUUGUAAACUCCUUUCGUUAGGGACGAAGCCACACCUUUUUUGGGUGUGGUGACGGUACCUUUGUUAAGAAGCACCGGCUAACUACGUG
rnacentral:rRNA from 1 species